rnacentral:rRNA from 1 species
CCUACGGGAGGCAGCAGUGGGGGAUAUUGCACAAUGGGGGGAACCCUGAUGCAGCGACGCCGCGUGGGUGAAGAAGCGCCCCGGCGCGUAAAGCCCUGUCAGCAGGGAAGAAAAUGACGGUACCUGAAGAAGACGCCCCGGAUAACUACGUGCCAGCAGCCGCGGUAAUACGUAGGGGGCAAGCGUUAUCCGGAUUUACUGGGUGUAAAGGGGGCGCAGACGGCGAUGCAAGCCAGGAGGUAAAGCCCGGGGCCCAACCCCGGGACUGCUCUUGGAACUGCGUGGCUGGAGUGCAGGAGGGGCAGGCGGAAUGCCUGGUGUAGCGGUGAAAUGCGUAGAUAUCGGGAGGAACACCGGUGGCGAAGGCAGCCUGCUGGACUGCAACUGACGUUGAGGCCCGAAAGCGUGGGGAGCGAACAGGAUUAGAUACCCGUGUAGUC